rnacentral:tRNA from 1 species
GUUCUAGUAGUUUAAAUUAAAACAUUGAUCUUGUAAAUCAAAAAUAAAUUAAUUUCUUGAUCU